CUACUUCUCAGAGCAGGAAUGGGGCAACCUGGAGGAAUGGCAGAAGGAACUCUACAAGAACAUGAUGAAGAGUAACUACGAGUCACUGGUCUCCUUGGACUAUGCCAUCGCUAAACCAGAUCUUCUGUCCCGGAUCGAACAAGGGGAACGUCCCUGCACCGAGGAAGAGGAGGCAGCAACAAUGGACAGGGUGAUACCUUUGGAACCCAGCCCAGAAAAGAAUCCCCCCCCCCCCCCGC